GUGUUUGUAAAAAGGAGAGUGGUUGGCAUGUCCCCAGCAGGGAUGGGAACAGCCUUUGGGGUCGUUUGGUAGAGUGUAUU
rnacentral:ncRNA from 1 species